CUCCCACAAGAUGGCCGCCUGACUGGGGAUUGCCAGUGUUGCUCUCCUCCGCCUCCGCUCAGCAUCAGGGAAGCCUAUCAUCCUCUUGGUUAACCUCAGCCUCCAGUAAUCCUGUCAAUUCUCCUCUUGGCAUGUGUGCUUUGACAGGCAUCCAAGAGGCUAUUUUCCCCUAUCCCUCCCAAGCUGGUGCUGAAACACUCACACAAGAGCAAUGAGAAGACGUGGAGCCUGACCAUCUCACCUGGCUGUCGAUCUUGUUAUGAGCACAGGUGACCACCAUCCAUGGAGAGGGGCAUAAAGUCGGAGGCAAAGAAGAGCAGGCGAGUCCCAUUGCCUGGCUUCCUGGCAGCAGAAGGCCUCAUCUGAGCACACGGAGGGGUUCCAAUGGAGACUAUGGAGACAGAACGUGGCUGUAGGAUUUCUUUUUUCUUACUAAGAUGGUUAAGUCAUAGGAUGUUGGAAGAGUUCUUGCAGGAGUCAGAGGGGCGCUGCUCCCCUGCUAAGCACUGUGAAAAGAGGCGCUGUGGUGGCCCCGUUUGAAAGGAUGGUUUUCUCUGUGAGCUGAA